CGUAAGGCGCCGAAUGAGUCAUUAAAAAAUUAACAUCAUCCGAUCCCUAGUCCGGCAUAGUUUAUGGUUAAGACUACGACGGUAUCUGAUCGUCUUCGAUCCCCCUAACUUUCGUUCUUGAUUAAUGAAAACAUCCUUGGCAAAUGCUUUCGCAGUAGUUAGUCUUCAAUAAAUCCAAGAAUUUCACCUCUGACAAUUGAAUACUAAUGCCCCCAACUAUCCCUAUUAAUCAUUACGUCAAUCCUAGAAACCAACAAAAUAGGAUCGAACGUCCUAUUUCAUUAUUCCAUGCUAAUGUAUUCAAGCGUUAGCUUGCUUU
rnacentral:rRNA from 1 species